rnacentral:rRNA from 1 species
AGAGUUUGAUCAUGGCUCAGGAUGAACGCUAGCGGCAGGCCUAAUACAUGCAAGUCGAACGGUAAGUAGUGUAGCAAUACACUGCCUAGAGUGACGUACGGGUGCGUAACACGUAUGCAACCUACCCAAAACUGGAGUAUAGCUCGGGGAAACUCGAAUUAACCCUUCAUAGUAUCAUUGAAUGGCAUCAUUUGAUGAUUAAAACUCAGGUGGUUUUGGAUGGGCAUGCGUCUGAUUAGCUAGUUGGUAGUGUAACGGACUACCAAGGCGAUGAUCAGUAGGGGAACUGAGAGGUUGAUCCCCCACACUGGCACUGAGAUACGGGCCAGACUCCUACGGGAGGCAGCAGUAGGGAAUAUUGGUCAAUGGAUGCAAGUCUGAACCAGCCAUGCCGCGUGCAGGAAGAAGGCCUUCUGGGUUGUAAACUGCUUUUGCCAGAGGAUAAAAUGGGCGUGCGCGCCUAAUUGAAGGUACCUGGUGAAUAAGCCACGGCUAACUACGUGCCAGCAGCCGCGGUAAUACGUAGGUGG